CCCUACGGGGUGCAGCAUGCGCGAAAACUUUACAAUGCCGGCAACGGCGAUAAGGGGACCUCGAGUGCCAGGUUACAAAUCUGGCUGUCGCGAUGCCUAAAAAGCAUUGCAUAGCAAGGGCCGGGCAAGACCGGUGCCAGCCGCCGCGGUAGCACCGGCGGCUCGAGUGGUAACCGUUAUUAUUGGGUCUAAAGGGUCUGUAGCCGGCCGGGUAAGUCUCUUGGGAAAUCCAGCAGCUCAACUGUUGGGCUUUCAGGAGAUACUGCCUGGCUCGAGGCCGGGAGAGGUGAGAGGUACUUCAGGGGUAGGGGUGAAAUCUUGUAAUCCUUGAAGGACCACCAGUGGCGAAGGCGUCUCACCAGAACGGACCUGACGGCAAGGGACGAAAGCUAGGGGCACGAACCGGAUUAGAUACCCGGGUAGUCCUAGCCGUAAACGAUACUCGCUAGGUGUCGGCCACGGUGCGACCGUGGUCGGUGCCGUAGGGAAGCCGUGGAGCGAGCCACCUGGGAAGUACGGCCGCAAGGCUGAAACUUAAAGGAAUUGGCGGGGGAGCAC
rnacentral:rRNA from 1 species